rnacentral:lncRNA from 1 species
AUGUUGCAAACUCAUGCAAUCACAUUCUUUACAUUUCUCUACUCUUGCUAACUCUAGCAUUCUUAUUCGUUACAAUUCUUGUUCUUAUUGCCCCACUUUACUUUAAUCUUACUCAUGGUCAUUUUCAUCAUUCUUUACAUCACGUUAGUUCUUUGCAUCACACUAACUCUAGUGUCUCUUUACUUUACAUUUUCAAAUGCCACUCGAUCUACGUCAUUGUGUUACUCUGUUCUUUUACUCAC